rnacentral:lncRNA from 1 species
CUUUCUCCUGCUAUGGAACAAUGCCACAGUGACCUCACAGUGUUAAGUCCAUUAUGGAAAGAACUUGCAUCAGAGGUGGCUGUUGCUGAGAACUUGCUGUAGCUGAUUGCAAGGAUGGCAGCACUUGGCAGCUAGGAUAAGUGGGCAAAUAUCCCCUCUGAUUUAAACCACAAAUAUAAUCAGAUGCUGGUGUAUCUUGUUUCCGGUUGAAUUUCUUGCUUCUAGAAAGCACAGCAGGAAGCACUCUGUCAAUAGCACCAGGUUUCCUUGAAAUCGAUUGAGGCUCUGGGCUUCCAGCUAAAACACUGCUCUUGUG